AAUCGCUUGGUCUGAAGGUCUCUGGAGAACCUUUCUCAGCUCCAAGAUUCUAAACUGAUCUGAAGAGCUUGUGUUUAGAGCUGAAUGGGCAGGGCGGAGGUGAGAGUCCAAUUCCCUCAAUUUACAAAGGAGAAAACUGAGAUCCAGAGUUUAAGAACCCUCGAACCCAGGGAGUCUCGGGCCUAAUUCGUGAUCUUUCCUCUCCACCAUCUACCUCCCUUUGGCUUUCUAAAUCAAUCUGAAUGGGACUCACUAGCAGGUGCUGAGAAACAGGCCAGCGAGACUCUAAUGAGGAAAAAAUGUCCUUACACAUGGCUCGAACAGACUGUAACAUCACUUCAGUGUCUAAGAGCAAACUCCCUAACCAGGCAUCCGGAAGCGCUUCAGAGCAAUUGUUAGGGGAUUUCUCCUCACAAUGGGUCAACAUUUUCCUCCCUGUAAUUUCUUUCCAUUGAUUCCAGGACUUUUCUUUGAAGCAAUGUAUAAUGUCUACCCUCUCUUCCACAUAACAAUUCUGCAAAUACCUGAGGACAGUUAUUAAGUCUUCCCCCGUUCCCCCCCCCCCCCCCCCCCGGCCUCACAAACACCCAUUUUCUCUUUUCUGGGCUAAAAUCCCCCCCAGAGACCUUUUCUGGUUCUCUUUAAAGCAUGAUACCCAGAAAUAUUAUGGCCACAACGAUACCCCUGAUGUGGUUCGAUACCCAGCUUAACCAGUCUUGCCAUGCCUUUGACAAAGUAAUAGAGACCCUAGUAAACAUCCCACCGUUUUCUUUCAGAAUAAUAGGAACAGCCCACAAUGCAGUCUUCAUGAGGGAAUUUAAAAGUCUUCUACCAACCUAGGAGGCUCUGAAACUAUUCAAGAAUGAAAUACAGUUAAAAUUGACCUGAUAGCAGUUCAAGUCUCUCAUUUCAGCAAAACCGAGGAAUUGAUGAAGUUCACUGCUUGGCUCCUGGAUCGAGGCUGCUCUCCAACUCCCUUCUCCUCGGCCCCCUCCCUUUCCUGGCAGAUUCAAGUCAAAGUCAGUGGCCCAAAGCCCAAAUACGCAAAAUUUUAGACAGACCUAGAGGGAGACAAGAAAGAAAAGCAUUUCUUUUUUUAAUUGUUUUACAAUGCUGGAUAUGUGUCAGUUAUUAUCAUUAUUACUUUGUAAAUUUGGACAAGCCAGAUCCCUUCUCUGAGAUUUUGUUUCCUCCCCUAUACAUGAAGCAGGUUGAUUACAUGACCUUCCAGCUCAAGUCCUUACAUUUCACACAGGCAUAAUAGGACUUGAACCAAAAGGGAAAAUCGAUGUUCCCAUUAUAUAGGCUUAAUUUUUUUUUUUAUUAUAAACUUAAUAAUCAUCCACAAUGUAUACAAAACAAUGACACAAACCUCUUGAAUAUAACAAGAUAAAACCAAAAGAAUGAAUUAUAAACAACUAUAUUGAUUUAGUUGAGGAUACCAUUAUUUCCACUUUUACAAAUUAAGAAAUACUAACAGAAAGAGGGCAAAUGACUUUGCCCGUAGUUACUGAGGUAGCAAAUAGCAGAGCUGUAAUUCAAAUACAAGUUUCCUAACUCCAAGGUCACUGCUCGUUCCAGGAGGCCAUGCUGCCAGCCCUGAUUCAGGUGACUAGGAAUGUCUCCAAAUCAUUCAUCAGGAUAGACUUGAGGAAGUUUAGCCAAUCCAAGAUUAUGCUAGCAUAGUGACAAAGCCCAAAGAGACAGCCAAAAAAAAAAAAAAAAAAAAAACAAAACCCAAUCCCAAACCAGGUCUUCCUAUACUCAGGGUGCCAGCUGGUUCUUGUCACUGUUGGUAUAAGAGUCUCUACAAUUCACCGUAUAGUGUCAGUGUUAUUUGAGUGUAGCACCCUUCUUGUAGUACGCUAUUAUCCUUUUCUGCCCAGCUGCUCACAUUCAAGUUUUAAUUGUAGAAACAAAAUGUGUUAUAGGAGGAGGAAUAAAGGUCCAAGGGUUCAGAGAGAUGCUGGGGCAGCAGCAGCAAGUUUACAUCCUGGGGAUGACUUUUGGGUCUACUCAUCCUCAACUACAAUGAACUGUGGUGAAAAUUGGUUGGAAAUUGGGGCUAGCAAUGAGACAACCAAGCCCAGAGAAUUAAUGGACCAUCAGGAAUUCCAAUUAGAAGAGAAGACCCAAUUCCCUGGAGAGGCCCCGAGUCCAGAGUUUUUCAAUGUUCAUUGAUGACCAGUCCUACUAGAUGUGUAAAUUGAAUAUUAGAAAUGCUGCUAUCUGUCUUCCUUUGCCUAUUUGAAGAAGGAGAGACACUGAGGGCAAAGCAAGCUGACCUAUGAAUUUCCUACAACCCUUAGCCCACAAGGAACUUGCAUACUCUGAGGACUUUCAGGGUGGGAGAGAAGCUGAAGGAACACAAUCCAAUAGUCAAUAUUGUAUUUUUCCAUUGCUUUUAUUGCUAUUCUGUAUUGUUUAUUUGUAUUUAUUGACAAUUUGCCAAGAGUAAAUGUUACAUAUGGUAUCCAGCCUUGUUCUGCCAUUCCUUCAAUCAGCCAACAAUCACUUAUUCAGCCCAUACUAUAUGCCAGGGAACCAUUCCAUUAUGCCAAGCACAUGAGUAGGGAUCACCCAUGGGCAGUAAAAGUUUAGUGAAAAGGCAGGAUUUGCCAAAACUGGAGGCUCCACGUCCACAUUCUUAGGUGGUUAGAGCUAUCCCAUGGAGACAGUGGAACUGAAGAGCAGGAGGUUCUCUGAGAACCACAAGGAGCCCCCUAUUUCCUCCAGGGGGACUCCCCCAGGUGAAAGUGUGGGAGCUCCCAAAGCCUGAUCCUUUCUGGGGGCCACUAAACAAAGGACGUGACAAAGUAUCAGCCUCUCCGUGACUUCCCCAAUCGACCGUUGCUCCAGAGGGCUUAUUUUCCGUUGGGUUCUGAAGCGUCCUGACUUACUGAUCUCUCCCUCCAUGCUCACUGGGCUUGGACACCCCCUUGUCCCGCUGUUUGUUCCUGUCCCCUAGCUGGAGAGAUGUUGCAGGGGAUGGGCCAGAGCCUGAGAUGCUUCAGCUUCCUAGCCAGUGAUCCUGAAGCUGUCUGGCUCAGGAACAGGGGAAAGUGGGAGCCGGCACUGGCAGGGAUGGCUGAGGCUGAGCCAGCAAAGGGAGCAGCUGCCCAAAAAUGUGGGAGCCUGCCGGCCGGAUGUAACAUCAGGGAACUGGGGGGAACGCCGGGACUGGAGACGGAAGCCUGGGAAAAGCUCCUGCUCCAGGGCUGCCUCUUCUGUCUGGGGCCAGGCCAGGCUGUGCAGCCCGAACUGCAGACAAGACAAACCAUCCUGAGCCAAUGCUUGUCCCUUCUGCUUGAAACCCACAGGUACUUUACAGCAGCCUGAUGAACUCCAAGGGUGCUGAGAAAGCCUGUCUCAGCUGGUGUGGAGGUUGCACCUGGGGAAGCAGGGAGAGGUAACCAGCUCCCGCAGGUGGGGCACACCUGCCAGGAAGAGACCCCUGUGACAGAAGGGUAGCAGACACCAGGAAUAGGCCAUUGCUCCAGCUCUCAGAGGAUGCUAGGAAAUACAGGUUUUGAAGAGAUUUUUCUGCAACAGCUCCAAUUUUUAUUUUACUUUAUUUUAUUUGCUGCAAUGGCUGCAGGCUAGAUUGAAAAGCAAACACUAUUUGACCCAAUAUCUUUACCUUCCAGUUGAUCCCACACGGAUGCCCUAUUUCUAGAUUCUUCCAGGCCACAAAAAUGGUCAUCAAAUUUCAAUGUUCCAGCAAGCAGACUCUCCAGCUAUCACAUGCUCUUUGUCAAUAGGGAAUAGUCUCCUCUGGAAACUCUGCUGUACUAUGAUUUUAGCUGACA